UCUCGAGGGGUGGAUUGCACUUGGCAUGACGGGGUUUGAGAAGGGAUGCGAAGCGAAGCAGGUUGACAGGAGAGAGUGAGCACACGCCGGGGGUAAAUGGCAUGACGGGGUGCUGUUUCCGUUGCGUGCUCAAAUCUCUUGUUGUCAACCUUUCGCUGUUAUUUCUUCUGUGAUCAUACUUGAAAAUGCGUUCCCCUCCCCAAGCGAGAAGAGAGAGAGAGAGAGAGAGAGGUGGAGAAAGAGAGUGAUUGAACGUGUCUAACCCACCUCCCGAGCCUGCCUUGUACUUCUUCAGUGUUUCGGCGGCCGCGUUGCGAUGUUUUGCUUUGCUUCGUUGUCAGUCAUAUCCUAUCUGCCUAUCAGCUCGUCGGAUUUGCUUGGGUGAAGAAGCGCGUGCUUAAUUGCCUCUCCGGUUUUCUCUCUUUCCUUUCAUUAAUGCUUAUAAAGUUCUAGAAAUUGGGAAAUUGUAGGAAUAAGCGCGACUGUUGAAAAGAGAAGUGAGAGAGAGAGAGAGAGAGAGAGAGAGAGAGAGAGAGAGCGAUGGAUGAGUGAGUGGUAUUGUCCGUCUCUGCCCUGUUUGUAAUGAAGCCGGAGAGAAAGAAUAGAAAGAGUACAGUACUACACCUUGAAGCAGGCUGUGCCGCCUCACCGGAAGACACUGUUUGACCAAUUCCACUCUCCUUCUUGGUGUUCUCCCAUCUUUUCUGUCGUCCUUCUUUCUGGCUUUCCUUUCCUUUCCAUGUCUGUUGCCUGUUGCGGAUAGGGUUUGGAGCGUUUCAACAAAACAUGGAUUCAAGCUGUGAGGAUCCGUGGAGUGAAGGUGCUCCCCGAGGUUCAUGUCCACCAUCGUCCAUUCCCGACCAUCACACUGUUUUUUCUUUCGUUUGCGCUCGAGACCAUUUCCUCACCACCUUGAUGGGCUGUUGCUUUGUCAACUUGAACAAAGACUCACUCGCUGCUCUCGCCACGACUCCGACGAGCGGAAAGGGGUGAGCUUUGUUGCCCUUCCCCAUGCCUGAUCGAUUCAUCUCUACUAGCUUUUGUGGAAAGAAGCCAAUGAAUCAUCGCUGGUAUCUGUCAGGUACACUUAAUCUCCAUCUAGCUUUUGUUGCUUUAAUCUUUGCUAGGUUUGUGGUGGUGGUCACUUUGCUCCAUCAUUGCUGUGGUUUGUAUGUCGCAUUUUCUGUCGUCCUUCUUGCUUUUGCUUUCCUCUCCUUUCCUUGUCUCUUGCCUGUUGCGGAUAGGGUUUGGAGCGUUUCAACAAAACAUGGAUUCAAGCUGUGAGGAUCCGUGGAGAGAAGGUGCUCCCCGAGGAUCAUGCCCACCAUCGUCCAUUCCUGGCCAUCUAGCUGUGUUUUCUUUCGUUUGCGCUCGAGACCAUUUCCUCACCACCUUGAUGGGCUGUUACUUUGCCAACUUGAACAAAGACUCGCUGCUCGUUCUUCUAGGCUCCCAAGAUGUAUGGGAGUUUGUAAAAGAUGGAUUUGCUGAACCAAGUCUAGCAGAAGAAGGAGCAAUGAAUGCAGAAGGAAGAAAACAACUCAAAGAAAGAAAGAUAAAAGAGAAAAAGGCUUUGUUCACGAUUUACCAAGGGUUUGAUGAUUCACUAUUCGAGAUCAUCGCUCCAGCAAAUACUUCAAAGGUGGCUCGGGAAAUACUUCAAAAGGCAUUUGGUGGUGUUGAUAAGCGACGAGCGUAAAGGGUUGAGCUUUGUUGCCCUUCCCCAUGCCUGAUCGAUUCAUCUCGACAAGCUUUUGUGGAAAGAAGCCAAUGAAUCAUCGCUCGUAUCUCUCAGAACUGUAAUCUUCACCAGGACAUGAGGGAUGCCAGGCAUCAAAGACUAGUAGGUUUGUCUUAGGAACUCGAUCAUGUUAACUCUACAUUUAGCAUAGAAGUCAAUCCAAACCUUUUUCCAAAGAUCAAGUUGGAUGGUUAUACAGGAAGAUAUUAUCUUUUUAUUUUUUUGCAUUGUGAAGACCUAUAUUAUGAAGGAAAUAUAAGUCAUGACAAAUAGAACUCAUGCUGCAAAUUGUACAUUUUUUUAUGAUCAUUGUUGAAGAGGGCCUUGUUCUUAAUUUAGCAGCACAAGGAUGGUUAAACUCAUGAUUCUGUUCUUAAUGAAUUUGCAUUGCUUGGGGAUGUCCAUCUUGUUUGAUCACAGAGUUUGCUGAGGGAAUGGUCGUCGCAAUUAUUAGGGGGAAAAAGACCAGAUUAAUUCAUCAUACAGGGUGACAAAAAGCUUGACGACUUAUUCAAACCUAUAGAUGAGAAAGAAGAAGAAAGGUUUGCAGAGCUUUGGAACACAAGGACGAUUCCACUCACGGGCAUGAGAGCCGUCGAUCUACUUGGACUUGGGUGCCCAGUUGCUGCCGGUCAUGGUAGCGCGGGUGACGUCGGCGGGCGUGGUGCCGGGCUUCGACUUGGAGUAGAGCGCGAAGUAGCCGAUGGCGGCGACGAUCAGGAAACCGCCGACGGCCAUGGUGGUGGGCCUGUGCGGCAACUUCCGCCGCUGUUGCAGC